CGCCCUCCACCCGACAGCUCUGCCUGUCUGUGUGUCUCUUUGGCUCAGCUGUUUGUGUCCCAGCUUUCACUGAUCCAGCACAGAAAUGGACAUUUCCUCCUCUGAGAGUGAGAGAGACACUGAGAUGUGGGACACAGGAUGUAGGACACCUUGCCUUCACACUGAUAUUCUGUCUUAUCUACAAAGAUGUCCCCUCCACUGGACUUAAUAAGCCGRCACAUAAACAUGACAAUCAUGCUAUUGUAUGUCGCCUGUCAGCAGRAGCUUCUCACCAAGGUGAUAUGCAAAUGAAAUAACACRCUCUCAUAAUUUGUAGUCUGUCAACCAGGCUGUAAUUAAUCUGCUACUGAUUUUCCGUCACUGCCUAUAUCCAUAAUUCAACAUUUUGAGACUUGCAUCUCCAAAAUGAAUCCCAAUGACAAAGCUGCUGUAUGUUAAUUCUCUUUUAUAUCACCUUCAAUACCAUUCCAACCAAUGUUCUGGAAGAAACUGUUUUUAUGUCACUAUUUUGCGCUUAUUUUGUUGUUUGAGUGCCGCGCUGCUGGGGAGCCUCUUGGUCAGAUUUUGSCUAAGCAGGAAGAGAGCAUCGUUCAGUGUGUACCUGUUAUUCUUUAAGCUUUUGGUGACUUCAGGUGUAAGUGGACGGUCACACUCUGUCAGGCCUCAUCUUCUGAGAACAAAGAGAGGUCUUAUGGGAGUUCACAGCACAAAGCUGCCCUCCAAGGGCAACAGACAAAAGGGAUAGAGAGGAAGUCAGCUUCCUGCUGCACGCUUUGCUUCUAAAGCAUUGUUCUCCUUUUUUCCGCCUUCAUUUCUAAUUGUGUUUGACUUUUUCAAUACAAAGAAAAGAAAAGAAACGAAAGCAAAAGAUAGAAACUGUCUACACAUCCAACAUGAAGUGGAAAUAUAAGCAUGUGUCUCAGAUCUUUUUCCAUCAAAAUAUGUCUAAAUAUUAGCCUCAGCUCUUGAAAUCUUCCUUUUCUUUGACAUGAGAUGUAUAUUUUUAUGGAGAUCAUUUACAGUGCCUUACAAAGCUGUUUGUACCCUAACUGCUCAUGUUGCAACCACAAAAGAUAUUGUGAUUUAAUGGGAGGUUAUGUGAUAUUUAAAUAUAAAGUAUUACAGUGAAAACGGAAGAAUAAAUGGUUUUCAAUAUGGUUUUUUUUUACAAGUUAAAACAGAAAUGUUUUAACUGAAAAGUUUACAAGUUAUCAGAAAUAUAUUAGUAAAAGUUUUUCACAAACCAUGUACAGGCCACAGCAAAUAUACUCUACUCAUUUGAGGUCAGGAUUUAAUCUUAUGGCUAAUAUGCUUCAUUUUCUUCCAAUUUGGACGCCAAAUAAAGGAAACUAGAGCUACAAAAAAAUAGAUAAAUAAAACUAUGCAAAAUGAAGAUGCAGAAGACUUGAACGAAGCCAGUAGAAACAUGCCACAAAAGACUUACAGUAACAGUGAGAAAGUUAUUCUACAAAGUGUUGGCUCUGGGGCACUGAUUGUAAAAAAAAAAAAAAAAAAAAAGACGUUU